rnacentral:lncRNA from 1 species
GUGACAGCCUUCUGACCCUUAAGAAAAGAAUCAACCUUCCAUUUUUCACAUUGUCUUCUAAAUUUCAAUGUGCUUACAUUGCUGAGAACUUAACGACAAUGCCCAUAACAUGACCACUGUCUCUUGGGUGAUUAUAUUCAUUAAGUCAGAAGAAAAAGAGCAAGGGAAGAGUAGAAAUGAAACGACAAUUUUGCCUUCAGUGUCAGCUGCAUGUUAGAAGAAGAGAAAGGACACAUUUCUCAAACUCAGCAUGAGUGAGACGAUGACCUUUAUGAAUUCUGAUCUCUUUACGUAAUCAAACAAAGGCUUUUCACUCCUCUUGGCAGGAGACUCUGGAGGUGCCUUUGACUCAAGGACAAAACUUUGAUUUGAAAGGGGCUAUGGUUUCUAUUUUUCCUUCCUAGGAGCAGACACAGAAACCUUUCCUUUCUUACAGAAAACCAGACUCUCCGGGUGGAGUAGCAAGGGCAGGAUCUUUCAUAGGAUAAUUCAAGAGUUUUGGGGUUGGGAACCCACAGUUCCUUGCAAUGCUUCCGUGCAGCCAGGGGAGGACUAGAGAGUCAUUAUUCUUUGCGGCAAAAGAAAAGACAAGAGGGCACUGUGCAUGAAAAGGACCAAACCAGCUCCAGAAGACAGGUGGCCAAUGGCCAGGUGCCGGCUAGGCCAGCUCUUGCUGCUAGAGUGUUGUUGGCAGGUACUUAGAGAGCCUGCUUCUAGAACUCUCUCCAAGGCUAUCACUUCUCAGGAUUUGCUCUCUAAUUCUCUGGGCUUCCCUCCUUCAAAACUGGCCUGAAGACUCACUGCUUGGCUGAUUUCAAUCAAUGCCUCGGUCAGACUGACCCUCCGUGAAUGUUGCAUCAACAAACCUCAGAAGAGUAAAGAUGGAUUGAUUGUACAUUUCUCGUGAUAUCUGACCCCCGCCUCCCCGCCCCGACUAUGAGUAUUUCCCAACACAAAGGAGACCAAAUUCUUUUCUCAGAGCAGACAGAAUGCUGAAGGAGGGAAGUGAAGAAGAGAGGCAAAGCCUGGUCUGCUGUGAUGGAUCUGUCCACUCAGACGCUGUUCAGCUCACUUUCUCUUUGCUCAAAUGCCAGCUGCUUACCCCAGCUCCACCCUAAUCACCCAAGUCCAAGUGAUGGUUCCUUCUCCCACGGAUGAGUGUGAAAGGGAACAGAGAAUCCCUGGUUUUGCCUGGUGCCGUGGUUCACAACCAGGAAGGCUGCGGCUCUCGAGGUGGUGAUUGGCAGUGUGGAGACACAGGGUUUUCCCACAAUCUCAAGAAAGGAGGUGCUGCUCCCAUCUAGUGAGAAAGACCUCGGUUCAAAGGGCACCUCUCGGGGAAGCCCUCCCUGAGCACCUGUGUGCAGCUGCCUGCAGUCCGGCAUGCAGGGGCCUGUCUGGCCCUGCCAGUCUGUCAGGCUUCCCAGCAGUCCUGGCUGAGGCCGGGCCCUGUGCGCAGAGGACCCUGGACACCCAACUCCCCG